rnacentral:rRNA from 1 species
GUAUCUCUGUAGAGUCUGCAUAUCAAUAAGCGGAGGAAAAGAAACUAACUAGGAUUCCCUCAGUAACGGCGAGUGAAGCGGGAAGAGCUCAAAUUUGAAAUCUUCAAGGUUUUACCUUGACGAAUGGUAGUUUAAAGAAGUGUUUUCUGUUGGAGUUUUGGUAAAAGUUCUUUGGAAUAGGACAUCAUAGAGGGUGAGAAUCCCGUAUUUGACCAUUAUUUCCAGCUUUGUGAUACACUUUCAAAGAGUCGGAUUGUUUGGGAAUGCAGUCCAAAAUGGGUGGUAAAUUUCAUCUAAAGCUAAAUACUGGCGAGAGACCGAUAGCGAACAAGUACCGUGAGGGAAAGAUGAAAAGAACUUUGAAAAGAGAGUUAAACAGUACGUGAAAUUGUCAAAAGGGAAGCGUUUGACACCAGUGUUGUUUUCUACGAAAAUCAAUUAUAGAUGGCUGGAUUUGCGAUGUUGUAAUUGACUUUAUCAGCUUGUCUGCUAGCUCUUUCCUGUCUUUGUGAAUGCACUUUUCGUUGGAACAAGUCAACAUCAAUUUCUUUUGUUGUAAAAGAGGUCAUUGAGGAAGGUGGCUUUCGGUUCGGUAGAAGUGUUUAUAGCCUUUGCUCUCUGCAGUCGGAGAGAUUGAGGUCUGCAGCGUAGAUCCUUCGGGGUUAGAUACAGUUGGUGCUAAGUUAUAGCCUUUCAUAGACAACUUGUUGACUAUGAUCAGUCAUGUAGCUUACUCGCUGAUGCUAUUUUACCUACGCUUAGGAUGUUGAGUCAUCACACAUCUCU